UGCCCUGAAGAGGCAAUUAUGAGUAAGACACACAGUUCUUAUCUUCAGGAAGCUUAUAUUAUUCUCCCCUUUCAUGCUUUGGUCUCUCAAUUCAUUUCUGCUGUCACUGAAAUCAGAUGUUGCUUCUGGGAGUGGUGAGCUGACCAGACCAUUCCUUUUUACUCACCCAGGCUGUGGAAAGGUACUGCUGGUGGUGGUGGUAGAAGCAGAGACAGCCUGGCAGAAUUGUAGCCUCCCCUUCUGACUAUAGUCUUGAUAAUUGUAGAAUGUCCAACCAUCACUUAACCAUUACUCAGUUCUCCCCAAAGGGAAUUCUAGAUGAGUUCAGUGGCAGGCUUAUGCAUCUGGCUAAUGGCAGAUUGGGAGCUGAGAGCCUAGGUUUUAUCUGGAAUAGAUACCUAGGAUAGAUGGAGCAAGUGGUUAAGCCAGGGAUCAAAUCAGAGAGGUCAAGUCCAUUUCAGAUCCACAGGAUGAGCAUAGGAUGGACAACUGGAGACAAAACGUGAACUUUAGAAGAAAUAUUGGGCAGGGAAGAAACUGGAAGUUGUAGGAAUGAGCUGGAUGUUAAGAGUUAAGGUAGUUAAUAGAUUCAAGAGUUUUGUGGUAAAAAGCUGGGAUUCCAGUUUUCUUUAAUUGCUCAGCUUGCUAAAAGAUACAGGGCUGGGCUCUUUGGAGGAGUGGUGUCAGCCUUAUAGCUGAAUAAGAAAGACAUUCCUUACAUGUGUUCCUCUCCCAGCAACAACAGUUUGGCAUCCAUCCAUGGACAAGAGUGCCUUUGUGGGAGCUGUUGGAUCCAGCAUCAUAUGGAUCAAAUCUUGCCCACCUCUGCAUCAGAUGUCCAAGAUUACUCAACUGGAAAGUGGUGGAACCCUGGAAAUACAUUUUAAAAGAAGGCUGAAGGGAUGUUGAACCCUGACUUUUGUGGAGUAGCAUGGUGCUAUGGGAAGAGCAUACUCACUAUGCAGUUACAGGCUGUUGAAACUUCAGUCAAGGCUUCAGGGUCCUCAUCUAUAAAAUGGGAAUAACACCCACCUCACAGGGCUGUUGAGAGAAUUAAAUGGCAUGGCUAUGGAAAGCUCCAAGCAGGAAUGAGAAGCCUGACACGAAGAAUUAAGCCUUUAUCUCAUCCUUACCUAUUGUAAACAUAUAUGAUGUGUCCUCAGAAACAGAAGACUUUUUCCCAAGGGCCAAUCUGAGGGUGAGGAAGAUGAAAACCCUGAGUCCCGAAGUCUCAUGGUGACCACGGGGGAGCUGGGUGGAAUCCUGCCUAGACACAGCGUGGGACCAGAAGCUCCAUCUUGUUAAAGAUACAUCUUGUAAUCAAAAGGGUCAUAUUUCUGAAAGUGAGAUUCCAUGAUAUAAUCAGAAGAAUUUACCUGCCUAGGAGCGUCCAGGUCUGAGUUCUCGUUCUUG